UGACAUUUUGACCUCNAAUCAGGUAGGACUACCCGCUGGACUAA
rnacentral:rRNA from 1 species